ACAAGUGGGUCUCCUUCCUUCUUAUCUCCAUCGUGCCUGGGCUCAGCUCUGAAAGAAGAAAGUUCUUUUCCAGGUGAAUCUACAUGAUAGAGUGGAAGCCACAAAGGAAGAAGAAGAAGAGAUUCUAUCUGGGUAUGGAGAAUGAAAAAAAAAAAAGGUGUAAAGAGGGGUCUGGCUCUGUCAUCCAGGCUGGAGUGCAGUGACUCAAUCAUGGCUCACUGCAGCCUUAACUUCCGGACCUCAGGUGAUUCUCCCACCUCAGCCUGUCAAGUAGCUGGGACUACAGGUACACACCAUCAUUCACAGCUAAUUAUUUUGUUUUUUUUUUUUUUUAAAUAAAGACAGGGUUUCACCAUGUUGCCCAGGCUGGUCUCGAACUCAAGAACUGAGCUCAAGCAAUCUGCCUGCCUCCAUCUCCCAGACUGCUGGGACUACAGGUGCAAGCCACUGCACCCGGCUACUUUUUAAUUUUUCAAAAUACUGCAUUAAGAGUAUUUAUCUUGGCUGGGCGCGGUGGCUCACGCCUGUAAUCCCAG
rnacentral:lncRNA from 1 species